rnacentral:rRNA from 1 species
GACAAGAAAUAACAAUACGGGGCUUAAUGUCUUGUAAUUGGAAUGAUGGGAAUUUAAACCUCUUCCAGAGUAUCAAUUGGAGGGCAAGUCUGGUGCCAGCAGCCGCGGUAAUUCCAGCUCCAAUAGCGUAUAUUAAAAUUGUUGCAGUUAAAAAGCUCGUAGUUGAAUUUCUGCUGCAUUGCUUUUGCUCCUUUACGAGUCUUUGCAUUGUGGCUUAUUUCGGACUUUGUUUUACAAUGUCCGGAUGUUUACUUUGAGAAAAUUAGAGUGCUCAAAGCAGGCUUUCGCCUUGAAUAGUUUAGCAUGGAAUAAUAAAGUAGGACUUUGGUUCUAUUUUGUUGGUUUUAGGUACCAAAGUAAUGGUUAAUAGGAACAGUUGGGGGCAUUCGUAUUUA